rnacentral:tRNA from 1 species
GGGCCUAUAGCUCAGUUGGUCAGAGCAGCGGACUCAUAAUCCGUUGGUCCCAGGUUCAAGUCCUGGUGGGCCCA